AGCGAACGCUGGCGGCAGGCUUAACACAUGCAAGUCGAGCGGGCACUUUCGGGUGUCAGCGGCGGACGGGUGAGUAACGCGUGGGAACGUGCCCUCUGGUUCGGAAUAACUCAGGGAAACUUGAGCUAAUACCUGAUACGCCCUUUUGGGGAAAGGCUUGCUGCCGGAGGAUCGGCCCGCGUCUGAUUAGCUAGUUGGUGAGGUAACGGCUCACCAAGGCGACGAUCAGUAGCUGGUCUGAGAGGAUGAUCAGCCACACUGGGACUGAGACACGGCCCAGACUCCUACGGGAGGCAGCAGUGGGGAAUAUUGGACAAUGGGCGCAAGCCUGAUCCAGCCAUGCCGCGUGAGUGAUGAAGGCCUUAGGGUUGUAAAGCUCUUUUAUCCGGGACGAUAAUGACGGUACCGGAGGAAUAAGCCCCGGCUAACUUCGUG
rnacentral:rRNA from 1 species